UACAGAGGUCCCAAGCGUUGUUCGGAUUCACUGGGCGUAAAGGGUGCGUAGGUGGCCAGGUAAGUUCGGUGUGAAAGCUCGGAGCUCAACUCCGAAAAGGCAUUGAAUACUAUCUGGCUGGAGGGUCGGAGGGGAGACUGGAAUUCUCGGUGUAGCAGUGAAAUGCGUAGAUAUCGAGAGGAACACCAGUGGCGAAGGCGAGUCCCUGGACAACACCUGACACUGAGGCACGAAAGCUAGGGGAGCAAACAGG
rnacentral:rRNA from 1 species